rnacentral:rRNA from 1 species
GACGAACGCUGGCGGCGUGCCUAACACAUGCAAGUCGAACGGAGAUACGAUUUCGGUUGUAUCUUAGUGGCGAACGGGUGAGUAACGCGUGAGCAACCUGACCUUCAGAGGGGGAUAACAUUUGGAAACAGAUGCUAAUACCGCAUAAGACCACGACCCGACAUCGGGAUGAGGUCAAAGGAGCAAUCCGCUGGAGGAGGGGCUCGCGUCCCAUUAGAUAGAUGGCGGGGUAACGGCCCACCAUGUCGACGAUGGGUAGCCGAGCUGAGAGGCUGAUCGGCCACACUGGAACUGAGACACGGUCCAGACUCCUACGGGAGGCAGCAGUGGGGAAUAUUGGGCAAUGGGCGCAAGCCUGACCCAGCAACGCCGCGUGAGGGAAGAAGGCUUUCGGGUUGUAAACCUCUGUCCUUGGUGACGAAACAAAUGACGGUAGCCAAGGAGGAAGCCCCGGCUAACUACGUGCCAGCAGCCGCAGUAAUAC